rnacentral:rRNA from 1 species
UGGGGAAUAUUGGACAAUGGGGGCAACCCUGAUCCAGCAAUGCCGCGUGUGUGAAGAAGGCCUGCGGGUUGUAAAGCACUUUUGUUGGGGAGGAGGGUAUAUUGGUUAAGAGCUGAUAUACCGGACGUUACCCAAAGAAAAAGCACCGGCUAACUCCGUGCCAGCAGCCGCGGUAAUACGGAGGGUGCAAGCGUUAAUCGGAAUUACUGGGCGUAAAGGGUGCGUAGGCGGUUUAUUAAGUUACUUGUGAAAUUCCUGGGCUUAACCUAGGGUGGUCGAGUGAUACUGAUAGACUGGAGUAUGGGAGAGGGCAUUGGAAUUUCCGGUGUAGCGGUGAAAUGCGUAGAUAUCGGAAGGAACACCAGUGGCGAAGGCGGAUGCCUGGCCCAAUACUGACGCUGAGGCACGAAAGCGUGGGUAGCGAACAG